rnacentral:tRNA from 1 species
GUGCCCUUAGCUCAAUUGGUUAGAGCGCUGGCCUCAUAAGCCAUGAGUGACGAGUUCGACUCUCGUAGGGCGCACCA